GACGAACGCUGGCGGCGUGCUUAACACAUGCGAGUCGAACGGAAAGGCCCGGCGUUUGUGGGGUGCUCGAGAGGCGAACGGGGGAGUAACACGUGAGUAACCUGCCCUUGACUUUGGGAUAAAUUCAGGAAAAUGGGGCUAAUACCGGAUAGGAGCUCCUGAUGCAUGGGGGGGGAUGGAAAGAUUCGGCGGUUGGGGAUGGUCUAGCGGCUUAUCCGCUUGUUGGUGGGGUAGUGGCUGCCAAAGGCUUUGACGGGUAGCCGGCCUGGGAGGGUGACCGGCCACAUUGGGACUGAGGUACGGCGCAGUCGCCUACGGGAGGCAGCAGUCGAGAGUCUUGCACAGUGGGCCGACGCCUGAUGCGGCGACGCCGCGAGCGGGAUGCCGUCCUUCUGGUUGUAAACCACUGUCGCCUGUGCCGAGGCGUGAGUGACGGUACUGGGUAAAGAAGCACCGGCUAACUACGUG
rnacentral:rRNA from 1 species